rnacentral:lncRNA from 1 species
CUUUGGAGGAAGUCUUAAUGAUAUUGGACAGUUCAUUUUUCUUCGUGGUACAAGAUUUAAGGGUGAAAGAUGAAAGUGGUGUUCCUAUUUGCUUUCCUUUUGGUUACAGCUCACUGCACGCAAGUGCGAGAAUUUUAUUUACGAAUUUGCUGUCAUCACAACUUAUACUGGAAGUUAUAUGAAGUCUUGAAGAUCUGUAGGAAACCACCAAUGAACAGAAGAACUACUGUAGUCCCUGUGCCUCCAGUUCCACCAAGAGUAGAGAUUGAUCCUCCUCUGACUCCUACACCACCAGCGCCCCUUAUCCCCGACAGACGGGGAGAUUCGUGAUUAAUGAAGUUCUUCAGGAACUUCAUAGUCAAAAGCAGCUUCUUUCUCCAGGCAUUGUGUGAUACCACAGUUGAAGAUUAAAAAUGUUAUCUCGCUG